GGAGCACUGGCUCCUCCUUUGCUUGGGCCUUGGGCCUUCUCCCUGCUGGUCCUACCAGUAGCAGAAAAGGGCCCUCUCUGGGAAGGAGGGAAAGAGGCCUUCAAUUCUCACCCGAACCCGGCUGAAGACCAUGGUCUUUUUACCUAAUGGGUUUCAUAUCCAAGUAUCACCAAUUUGAAUGAACAAAUUAUGAGGAAACAGCGCCUGUGAUGUGUAUACCUGGCAAGGUGACUUUAGCAUCCUCCCAUCGACCUGCUGAAUCCUGUGUUAAAGAAUUGUAAUCCAUUUGCCACUGUCUGAUGAAGAAGAAGCUGAGUCAGCAUCUGGGUGGACUGUGUUUUUAUUGACUUUCUGAUGUGGCUGCAAUGGGUGAGGGGUUGUACACACAGCUGCAGCACUAUGCUUUUACUGAACAAGACCUUGGCACUAACCUCCA